rnacentral:lncRNA from 1 species
CUGUUUAUCUUGUUCCUACUACACCAAGUUCUAGAGAUUUAUUUUGAAAACUUACAAAUCACAUGAUGAGUUCCUAGUAUACAAAACUACCUACCACAGCCAUACUUGCUAUAACAUAUUUUGCUAUAUUUACAUUGAGUUUGAUCGAGCUGUGUAGACCCUAAGGAGCUUUUCAUGUGGUUAAAUUAAGAUAUUCACUUGCACACAUCUACCACAGCAUUCAUCGUCAAUCAUUAAAAUUGCUAAAAAUAUUAUCACUCACUGUCCCGAAUAUUGUUAUUCUCUCUCUCUAAAAAGAUUCAAUGCAGAAGAGGCAUGGGUUAUGCAAAAAUAUACGAGGAAAUAAAAAGGGGCAAGUGCCCGGAACCUCGAAAAAGAAAGAAAAAGAGUGAGACGAGAGGUAAAAAUGGACAAGUGUCCGAAGUAGAAUUAGGGGUACAAAGAUGCCCACUUGAGCGGAAAAAAUGGACAAGUGUCCGACAGUAGAAUUAGGGGUAUCUACUACCCACCUGAAAAAAAAGAAGAGAAAGAAAAGAUAGCCCAUGUUCUCCAAAAGUAAAGAUCAAAGAAGAGGAGAGAUAGCAAUAUGAGGAGCAAUGAGAACUAAAUUUUAUUAUCACUUAUGCAUUUUCACCAUCAUUAUCAUUUACUCCAUCACAC